CGGCAGGCCUGUCAAUCAGACCUGACGACACAAGGAACGGGCAAAUUUUUCUGAUUUCUUUUCCCGACCAACGCAACGGUAGUCGAGCCUUUAUCUCGCCGGUUU
rnacentral:sRNA from 19 species